UUUUUUUUUGUACAUAUUGGCUAUUCUAACAUCCAGGUUAUAGAAGACACGCCGCCAGAAUUUGCACAGUAUUUCAGAUUCCUGGGCUGAAUGAACUCCGAAGAGCACACGUCUGAACUUCAGC